UCCUGCCUCCAAUACCUGAGCAGUUUGGGUGCUUUUGUAUACAUCAGUGCAUCACAUCCACAGAGUCUUACCCUUAGUGGAGGUACAAGCCACUGCCGAGAGCAGGACGUCAGACUUGCCGUACCAAUGAGCCACUGUGGUGAGUCUGGAUUCCUGUGCUAGCUGCCUCUGGGGAUCAUGGAAAACUGACAGCAAGUUCAUCUGGUAGCACAAGCCACAGAAAUGUUCUCCUAGGACAACACAGCCGUCAGCUACAAUGUUCUGCGCACACUCCAAUCCAGUUGGAAUUUCCAUGUGCUUUUGCCCUAAAAAUUAGUGUUAAUCCUGCUGGCCAAGGGUCACCGCUAGGAACCCARGGGAGGUGCUCAGCCCUUCAACAGCACCAGCCCAGCCUUUCAGACUCUAUGCAUUAAUACAAUGAAGAGUAGAAAUUCGAUUGUCCUGUAAUUCAGGUAAGCUCUUUUUUUGUUGUCUUCCCUCAUUCCCCAUCCCUCAGCUUAAAUAUGUGCUGGUAUAGACUAAGCUGCAUUAAUACAGCGG
rnacentral:lncRNA from 1 species